UGAGUAACACGUAUCCAACCUGCCGUCUACUCUUGGACAGCCUUCUGAAAGGAAGAUUAAUACAAGAUGGCAUCAUGAGUUCACAUGUUCACAUGAUUAAAGAUAUUCCGGUAGACGAUGGGGAUGCGUUCCAUUAGAUAGUAGGCGGGGUAACGGCCCACCUAGUCUUUGAUGGAUAGGGGUUCUGAGAGGAAGGUCCCCCACAUUGGAACUGAGACACGGUCCAA
rnacentral:rRNA from 1 species